rnacentral:rRNA from 1 species
GACGAACGCUGGCGGCGUGCUUAACACAUGCAAGUCGAGCGGAAAGGCCACUUCGGUGGUACUCGAGCGGCGAACGGGUGAGUAACACGUGAGUAAUCUGCCCUGGACUGUGGGAUAGCCACCGGAAACGGUGAUUACUACCCGAUACGACGACUCUACGCAUGUGGUGGGUGUGGAACGUUCUUUCGGUUCAGGAUGUGCUCGCGGCCUAUCAGCUUGAUGGUGGGGUUAUGGCCUACCAUGGCUUCGACGUGUAGCCGGCCUGAGAGGGUGACCGGCCACGCUGGGACUGCGACACGGCCCAGACUCCUACGGGAGGCAGCAGUGGGGAAUAUUGGACAAUGGGCGGAAGCCUGAUCCAGCAACGCCGCGUGAGGGAUGACGGCCUUCGGGUUGUAAACCUCUUUCAGUACCGACGAAGCGAAAGUGACGGUAGGUACAGAAGAAGCACCGGCCAACUACGUGCCAGCCGCCGCGGUAAUAC